ensembl:lncRNA
AUGUCCAGCAAAGUAGACAAAGUGAAAAGUGAGUCCAGUAUAAUAAGUUUUGAAAGAAAAAGUACCACUACUGAGUCUGCCACAAGAGGAAAUGACAGAAGAAGUACUGAGUCUGCCACAAGAGGAAACGACAGAAGAAGUACUGAGUCUGCCACAAGAGGAAAUGACAGAAGAAGUACUGAGUCUGCCACAAGAAGAAACGACAGAAGAAGUACUGAGUCUGCCACAAGAGGAAAUGACAGAAGAAGUACUGAGUCUGCCACAAGAGGAAACGGCAGAAGAAGUACUGAGUCUGCCACCAAGGAAACGGCAGAAGAAGUACUGAAGUCUGCCACAAGAGGAAAUGACAGAAGAAGUACUGAGUCUGCCACAAGAGGAAAUGACAGAAGAAGUACUGAGUCUGCCACAAGAGGAAAUUACAGAAGGAGUACUGAGUCUGCCACAAGAGAUGACAGAAGAUCACCAAGCACAGGGAAAGAAAAAAGGAAAACGAAACGGAGCCACAGUAGAUCAUCUUCCUCAUCCAGCUCAUCAUCAUCAUCCUUGUCAUCCUCGUCCCGCUCUUCAUCCCACAGUAGGAGUAGUUCCAGCAGCAGUGAUUCCCACAACAAAUCCAGAAAGAAUUCUAAGAAAAGGAAAAAGGAAAAACAACACAAGAAGAAAGGGAAAAAGGAGAAGAAGCAUAAACGAAAGAAGGACAAGAAAAUGACACCAGAGGAGGAAAGCGCUGGACCUGGACCUAUUCAGAUCUCCAAGUAUUUAAAGGAGAGGAGGAGAAAAGGCAAGUACAGCAUGAUCACAGGAAAGAAGAUCAAAAUGAAAUUGAAGAAGUCCAAGAAAGACAAGCUGGUGUGUAUGAGUGUGAUGCAUAAAGUUUUUUACUUAGUGAUUAUGAAAAGUGAGGGUUAUUUUGCCUACCAUAGUUGA